rnacentral:rRNA from 1 species
CGGGUGAGUAACACGUAUCCAACCUGCCGUCUACUCUUGGACAGCCUUCUGAAAGGAAGAUUAAUACAAGAUGGCAUCAUGAGUCCGCAUGUUCACAUGAUUAAAGGUAUUCCGGUAGACGAUGGGGAUGCAUUCCAUUAGAUAGUAGGCGGGGUAACGGCCCACCUAGUCUUCGAUGGAUAGGGGUUCUGAGAGGAAGGUCCCCCACAUUGGAACUGAGACACGGUCCAA